AGAAUCAACGCUGGCGGCGUGCCUAACACAUGCAAGUCGAACGAGAAAGUGGAGCAAUCCAUGAGUAAAGUGGCGACCGGGUGAGUAACACGUGACUAACCUACCUUCGAGUGGGGGAUAACCUCGGGAAACCGGGGCUAAUACCGCAUAACAUCUUUGAAGUGGAAAUUUCGGAGAUCAAAGGAGCAAUUCGCUGGAAGAGGGGGUCGCGGCUGAUUAGCUAGUUGGCGGGGUAACGCCCACCAAGGCUUAGAUCGGUAGCCGGCCUGAGAGGGCGCACGGCCACACUGGAACUGAAACACGGUCCAGACUCCUACGGGAGGCAGCAGUGGGGAAUUUUGCGCAAUGGGGGAAACCCUGACGCAGCAACGCCGCGUGGAGGAUGAAGUCCCUUGGGACGUAAACUCCUUUCGACCCGGACGAUAAUGACGGUACGGGUGGAAGAAGCCCCGGCUAACUUCGCGCCAGCAGCCGC
rnacentral:rRNA from 1 species